GAAGAAUUGGCACGAAAAGGAAAGGAGAAAGUUAUCGAGCAGUAAUCGCAAAAUUCGGGUUUGUAUUAAGUUAUCGAGGAGUAAUCGCAAAAUUCGGGUUAGUAAAAGUCAAGUGUCCCGGCUCAGCAUCCAGAGUAUUCUCGACUCCAACACAACUUGGUGACGUAUUUUUUCUUUUGGGUAAAUGUGGCAUGUACAUAGGUGUUGUGCGAUCACUUGAAUAUGUAUAUUAUUUUGGUUGUGAAGGAUGAAUUAUAAGGUUUAGAUUGUUAAAUGAAAUGGUAGAAAGGUAUAUGAUAUUUUGACACA